rnacentral:rRNA from 1 species
UACGGGGGGGGCAAGCGUUGUUCGGAAUUACUGGGCGUAAAGGGCUCGUAGGCGGCCAACUAAGUCGGACGUGAAAUCCCUCGGCUUAACCGGGGAACUGCGUCCGAUACUGGAUGGCUUGAGUUUGGGAGAGGGAUGCGGAAUUCCAGGUGUAGCGGUGAAAUGCGUAGAUAUCGUAAGGAAGACCAGUGGCGAAGGCGGGUCUCUGGACAGUUCCUGACGCUGAGGCACGAAGGUCAGGGGAGCAAACGGGG